UCCCCCGGGAGUGAGGGCUGCCGGGGCGGAUGACGUGGCCGGGUAACGUCCCUGCCGGUAAGGCCUCCGGGGAACGGCACUGCCGGAACAGCCCGCGGCCUAAUCCCGCCCAACGUGCGUGUGCCUGCCUGCCCGAACCCGGGCUAGCGGCGGAGACUGCUGAGCCUGCGAGGACGCUGCCGACAUGGGGGAGUGACGCGCCUGCGCCCGCGCUUCCGCAGCGGCGGCGAGACAUGAGGAGAGCCCGCGGCGCGGGCAGCGGCUCCUGAGCC